rnacentral:lncRNA from 1 species
AGUCCUGGCGCUGGCGCUCCUUGCAGCAGAAGGAGCUGCGGCUGCAGCGCAGCAGGUUCUCCAUCUUCCCGCACAGCUCGCAGUACUGCCGGUCUCGCUCGCUCGAGCUCGGCUCGCCGGGCCCGCAGCUGUCAUUGGCCAUGGCGACCGCAGCUGAGCAGGAGGGGUGCGGCCGGACGGCCUCGCCCGAGGCUGGGGAGCGGAGAGAGAGAUAGGGGCCGUCACUGCGCCAUGCACCCGCUACCCUUGACUCAAGGAGGCUGGCACCCAGGGCCCUCGGCCGGGUCGCUUCCGAGUCCUAGGCUCCGGCGCAGCGCAGGCGGCCGCCUCAGCGCCUAAUCGCCGCCGUGGGCUGAGAGAACGCGGCCUGUGCGGCGAACGGCAACCCGGGCUCGGGCGCGCGAGCCUGCGGAGCGCAAGACCGGCCCCCUCGGCUGCCGCCACCGCCUCAGCGUCCCGGGCGGCCCGGCCCAGGCUGCGGAGGAGCGCAGGGUUCUUUCUGCAAGUCUUCCACCAGGGCCACUGCCUCCUCUCCACUCUCCGGAUGCUGCUGUCUGACCCAGAUCUGGAUCUCCUGGAGAAGGACAGUCGGGAACUGUUCUAGGACCAGCAACUCCAGGAUCUGCUCUUUUGUACACUUCUCUGGCCUUAGCCACUGACAACAGAGCUUCUGGAGCUGGAGGAGGGCCUCUCGGGGUCGUGAUGCUUCUUGGUAACGGAAAUGCCAAAAGCUCUGGCAGGAUGUCUCUGGUCCAGGGUAAUUCCCUUGAAGGGAAAUUUCCUGCUCCCAGUGGGAAUCUUCUUCCAGUUUAACUAUUUGGAGAUCUUGUACUGAAGGAGUCUGGAUUUGUUGGUCCACAGCUACAGCCAUUG